rnacentral:rRNA from 1 species
AAGCAUAUUAAUAAGCGGAGGAAAAGAAACUAACAAGGAUUCCCUUAGUAGCUGCGAGCGAACAGGGAUAAGCUCAGCAUAAAAUCUUGUAACUUGACAGUUAUCAAGAGAUGUUAUGUUUAGGGAGUUUCGUUUAUCCUAUAAUAUACAUUUCGUCCAAGUCCACCUUGAAUGGGGCAUUACCCACAGAGGGUGCCAGUCCCGUAGUGACAAAUGUAUAAAAAUUAUUAUAGGUGAAACUUUCCUUAGAGUCGGGUUGCUUGUAAAUGCAGCUCUAAGUUGGUGGUAAACUCCAUCUAAAGCUAAAUAUAACCACGAGACCGAUAGCGAACAAGUAC